UUAAAGUUUGUUUCAACAUGAUAUCUGCUGAUGUCAAUGUAAUUUCUAAGAAUCCCACACAUUAGUAAUAUUUCAAUUGAAACAGUGUACAUAAAUUCCUUAGUGAUGCACAUUCCAUUACAUGACCAAAUAAUCAUUAAGCUAAUAUUCUCCUUUCCUUGCGGUUGUGUAGAAAAACAAACAGAAAAAUAUGUCUUCAGAUGAGAUUUCUCUAGUGAAUUAUAUUGCAACCAAAAAUCUUGGAAAUCCUAAAUAUGUAGUGAAAAUGGAAAUAUGUAAAAUUGUACAAACAUCAAACAUAGCUGAAGUGAAAACAGUAAUAAAACACAAUAUUUGGUAAAUGAAGAUUACGAUACUAUAUUGGAGUUUGCUGUAAAAUUAAUAAAUCAAAUUGGAACAAAACUUGGAGAAAAUGCUGACCAGCACGCAUCUUGAGUGAAAUAAGGUACAGGACAUAGUCGUUGAACAAUGAACAUUCCUUUGUGCAUUUGAAAUGUUAUUAAAAUUAAGUUCGUAUAGUAAAUAAAUCUGUAUUAUGUUUUGGCUUUGUUAGGGAUUAUGUUAUAAUAAACUAAAUAUUUAAUUACUUACAUACUUAUUUAGAGCACCACAUACUGUACUACAUAUGGCACUGUGCAUUGAAAGAAAUUAACCUUGAUGUUUAAAUGAUAAAAUAUUAGGUACCUAAGUACUUUACUUGUGUAUGAACUUAUUAAAAAUUAAUAAAAUAAAAAACCAAAAUUACAUAAUUUUUGCUUUUAUUUUUCAUAAUCCUUAAAUCUAGUUAAACAAUAAAUAGU